AGAUUGAACGCUAGCGGGAUGCUUUACACAUGCAAGUCGAACGGCAGCGCGGACUUCGGUCUGGCGGCGAGUGGCGAACGGGUGAGUAAUAUAUCGGAACGUGCCCAGUAGCGGGGGAUAACUACGCGAAAGCGUGGCUAAUACCGCAUACGCCCUACGGGGGAAAGGGGGGAUCGCAAGACCUCUCACUAUUGGAGCGGCCGAUAUCAGAUUAGCUAGUUGGUGAGGUAAAGGCUCACCAAGGCGACGAUCUGUAGCUGGUUUGAGAGGAUGAUCAGUCACACUGGAACUGAGACACGGUCCAGACUCCUAGGGAGCAGCAGUGGGAAUA
rnacentral:rRNA from 1 species